rnacentral:rRNA from 1 species
ACUGGCGGCGUGCUUACACAUGCAAGUCGAGCGGAAAGGCCCUUCGGGGUACUCGAGCGGCGAACGGGUGAGUAACACGUGAGUAACCUGCCCCUGACUCUGGGAUAAGCCUGGGAAACCGGGUCUAAUACCGGAUAUGACACUCCUCCGCAUGGUGUGGGUGUGGAAAGUUUUUUCGGUUGGGGAUGGGCUCGCGGCCUAUCAGCUUGUUGGUGGGGUGAUGGCCUACCAAGGCGACGACGGGUAGCCGGCCUGAGAGGGCGACCGGCCACACUGGGACUGAGACACGGCCCAGACUCCUACGGGAGGCAGCAGUGGGGAAUAUUGCGCAAUGGGCGGAAGCCUGACGCAGCGACGCCGCGUGGGGGAUGACGGCCUUCGGGUUGUAAACCUCUUUCAGCAGGGACGAAGUUGACGUGUACCUGUAGAAGAAGCGCCGGCUAACUACGUGCCAGCAGCCGCGGUAAUACGUAGGGCGCGAGCGUUGUCCGGAAUUAUUGGGCGUAAAGAGCUCGUAGGUGGCUUGUUGCGUCUGCCGUGAAAGCCCGUGGCUUAACUACGGGUCUGCGGUGGAUACGGGCAGGCUAGAGGCUGGUAGGGGCAAGCGGAAUUCCUGGUGUAGCGGUGAAAUGCGCAGAUAUCAGGAGGAACACCGGUGGCGAAGGCGGCUUGCUGGGCCAGUUCUGACGCUGAGGAGCGAAACG